UACGUAGGUCCCGAGCGUUGUCCGGAUUUAUUGGGCGUAGAGCGAGCGCAGGUGGUUUAUUAAGUCUGGUGUAAAAGGCAGUGGCUCAACCAUUGUAUGCAUUGGAAACUGGUAGACUUGAGUGCAGGAGAGGAGAGUGGAAUUCCAUGUGUAGCGGUGAAAUGCGUAGAUAUAUGGAGGAACACCGGUGGCGAAAGCGGCUCUCUGACCUGUAACUGACACUGAGGCUCGAAAGCGUGGGGAGCAAACAGG
rnacentral:rRNA from 1 species